rnacentral:rRNA from 1 species
UACGAAGGGGGCUAGCGUUGCUCGGAAUUACUGGGCGUAAAGGGCGCGUAGGCGGCACUGUUAGUCAGGCGUGAAAGUCCUGGGCUCAACCUGGGAACUGCGCUUGAUACGGCAGAGCUAGAGGAUGGAAGAGGCUCGCGGAAUUCCCAGUGUAGAGGUGAAAUUCGUAGAUAUUGGGAAGAACACCGGUGGCGAAGGCGGCUCGCUGGGCAGUGGCUGACGCUGAGGCGCGACAGCGUGGGGAGCAAACAGG